GGCUCCGUAAUCGGAAUGAGUGAACUCUAAAUCCUUUCACGAGGAUCAAUUGAAGGGCAAGUCUGGCGCCAGUAGCAGCGGUUACUCUAGCUCCAAUAGCGUAUAUUUAAGCUCCUGCAGAUAAAAUCCUCGUAGUUGAAUCUCGGUAUCACUG
rnacentral:ncRNA from 1 species